rnacentral:rRNA from 1 species
UACAGAGGUCCCAAGCGUUGUUCGGAUUCAUUGGGCGUAAAGGGUGCGUAGGCGGUGGGGUAAGUUGGAUGUGAAAUCUUGGGGCUUAACCUCAAAAUUGCAUUCAAUACUGCCCUGCUCGAGUUCUGUAGAGGAGAUUGGAAUUUACGGUGUAGCAGUGAAAUGCGUAGAUAUCGUAAGGAACGCCAGUGGCGAAAGCGAAUCUCUGGGCAGCAACUGACGCUGAGGCACGAAGGCCAGGGGAGCAAACGGG